GGGUGCGAUCAUACCAGCACUAAUGCACGGAUCCCAUCGAACUCCGCGAGAUUAAGCGUGCUUGGGCGAGAGUAGUACUAGGAUGGGUGACCUCCUGGGAAGUCCUCGUGUUGCACCCC